ACCUGGGUGGCUCAGUCGGUUGAGCUUCUGACUUCAACUCAGGUCAUGAACUCACUCUUCAUGGGUUCAAGCCCCACCUCGGGUU
rnacentral:tRNA from 1 species